AGCUUUCAGCAUUUUUCCUGCUGGAACUAACUAUAACACACCUAUUUGCAACGGAAUGAUGUUGGCGUUCCAGCAGUGAUGGUAAGACACCACAGGGAAGAAAGAAUGGAGAGAGGUUUAAAAUUCAACCGAGGCCAAUCAACUAGCGCUGAUAUUAACAGAGCAGAGGAGCAUGUGUGAACUUGAAGACAAAUGGAAGAUGGAGAAGGAUGAUGAGCAUGACCUUCAACCUGCCUGCCCCUGACAUUUGCGAUGGCCACAGAAAAAAGGAAAGGCCAGGGUGCACUUUUAGUUGUGAUAUUUCUCAUUCUCCCUCUCUCUGUGUGUCUUUCUCUUUCUCUCUCUCUCUCUCUCCCUCCCUCCCUCCCCCCAAACAAUUUUUGGACAGUUUUCUGUAAAGCAAAACAAUCCAGCCAACCUGCCUUUCAUCUUCCUUGCAGCUAACACAUGCAGCAAUAAACACCCUUUUAG